rnacentral:rRNA from 1 species
CCUACGGGUGGCUGCAGUGAGGAAUAUUGGACAAUGGACGGAAGCCUGAACCAGCCAUGCCGCGUGCAUGAAGACGGCCCUAUGAGUUGUAAACUGCUUUUGUACAAGGGUAAACCUGAAUACGUGUAUUCUCCUGCAUGUACUGUACGAAUAAGGAUCGGCUAACUCCGUGCCAGCAGCCGCGGUAAUACGGAGGAUCCAAGCGUUAUCCGGAUUUAUUGGGUUUAAAGGGUGCGUAGGCGGAUUGAUAAGUUAGAGGUGAAAUGUCCGGGCUUAACUCGGGAACUGCCUCUGAUACUGUUGAGCUAGAGAGUAGAUGCGGAAGGCGGAAUGUAUGGUGUAGCGGUGAAAUGCUUAGAGAUCAGACAGAACACCGAUUGCGAAGGCAGCUUACUAAUCUGUAUCUGACGUUGAGGCACGAAAGCGUGGGGAGCAAACAGGAUUAGAUACCCGUGUAGUC